CAAUCUCUGAGUAGUGACGUAAAACUACGUCAACGUAUCAGGGUAUCAACGUCUCUCCCUUCCAGUUUCUUCAAAAUUCUUGUAAUUAGCUGCAGCAGGUCUUUUGCUGUUUCUUGUAUGAGUGGUGCUGUGUAUAAACAGCUGUAGUCGGCCAUAUUGCUUGUAUGAUUGGUGUCCUGCGUCAUACGUCUUUGUGUGCGUCAUUUGUACGACGUCAUUUUCAGGGACAAUAGACGUCACGAGAGGCAGUUCAACACGUCUACGUGAAGCUGCAAACAGAAGGUCGGUCUGUCGGAGGGAAAUCUGUCAACAACAAAAUAACAACAUUGUGGUUCUACCAACUGAUGGACGUGUCGUGUUGUCGACGUCAUCGUGCAGCUUCUUUGUGUGCUUUCUCCGGACUUACUCCCUUCUGACCGCUAACAUCAACUGUCUUUGCUCCACACCUCUGUGACUUCAGCUGGAGGUCAAAGGUCUCUGUUGCUCAUCUUAACUACAACUGAAGAUCAACAGUCUCCACUUUCUUCGCCUUCAUCUGCCGGGGCUCGUCAACGUGUUGUGUCGGUAAUUCGUCGUACGUGUGUUGGGACAAUUCAGUCACUGAGGUGAUGGCGCUCCUUCUUGGCCAGGAAACGAACCAACCAGCUGCAGACCGUAUACAGCAUCCCAUCUACGACUUUGUUAAACAUACAUUAAGCACGGAUAGUGACAUUAUAAAGACUGUACAUACAGCCAACAGAAAGUAAACCAUCCAGGCUUUACCUACACCAAUGACCAUGUAGAUACAGACCGCAGACUAAACACCAGACCACGUGACAGCUGAUGUUCCGCAGGUCACCAUGACCUCCCCGCACCGGAAGAUCAACAGCGAAAUCACAGACUACAGAUGUCGCCAUUUCCUGUUGGCCUUUAGCUGAAUCAUGGCCACGUCUACUUUGAUUCAUCGUCGCCUUCUGAUCUGAGACCACGAACACUGGGAAGCUGGACAGGACAGUAAUUCGUUUCCAGCGAAAACAAAAGCCGAGGGAGCUUUGGAGGUGACAGCGGAUACAACACGUGGAGCAGACAGACUCCACGAUAAUCUGGUCCUGAUGAGUGGUUAAUGUGUCAGAAGUCGUGCUUCCACAGCUUGGAUCCCAUUUCACUGCAAACCUUGGAUAAACCCCGGCUACACAGGAUGGCGAGGACAAAGCCCGAUGGAACAAUCUGGCAUCAAGUUACACAAUGAUGCCAUACAUCAAGUCGCACAGUGAUGUCCGUGUCAGAUAUUAAUUAAUACUGAUGAAGCCGAUUCAGUUUACACUUAUCAAUAUUAAUCAUAAAAUUACAAGAUGUUUGUGCUAGUU